rnacentral:tRNA from 1 species
GCCGGUGUGCUCAGUGGUUAGAGCGUUGGUCCAUGCACCAAAGGGUCACGGGUUCAAUUCCUGGUCAAGGGCA